rnacentral:rRNA from 1 species
UACAGAGGUGGCAAGCGUUGUUCGGAAUUACUGGGGCGUAAAGCGCGUGUAGGCGGCUCUUCAAGUCAGGCGUGAAAGCCCCCGGGCUCAACUCGGGAACUGCGCUUGAUACUGGUCGAGCUAGAGUGUGGAAGGGGCGAUUGGAAUUCCGUGUGUGCGGUGAAAUGCGUAGAUAUACGGAGGAACACCAGAGGCGAAGGCGGGAUCGCUGGGCCAACACUGACGCUGAGACGCGAAAGCUAGGGUAGCAAACGGG